rnacentral:piRNA from 1 species
UGCUGAACCGCUGGGUGUCCGGGGU